GGAAAACAAGAUAUCCACCGUAUUGUGAGUUUGGUGACAAGGCGAUAAAGCUAAUUCAGCUCGUGAAUCUAGCAGUUCUACGCGUCGGAGGAUCAACUAUGCAAUAAGGUGAUGCUGCAUUAAAGCGAAAGUACUGGGCGCAACAAAAGCGAUGCUGUGAAAAUAUUUGUUGAGGUUCUUCUUGUAUCAGGUUAUCAACAGGUCUCUUGGGCAUCGUUCACACGUUAUUUCUUCGGGCAGCUAACAGGGUGGCAUACUUACUUAAAACGUAUGUUUUAAACGUGUGUGAAUAAGUUUUACUUGAUGUGCUGCGUGCAACAAUCAGAUCAUCCACCGUGUAUUACAUCAACUCAUGUACGAUGUACCUGGAAUGUUUGACCUAAUAGACAAAACCACAUACGAUUCGAACGAUACGAUAAAUAUAGUAAACGAACGUGACGAGGAGAUCUAUGGAUAAUUUCUUCAUCGGUGCGCGUUUGAAAUUUUGGGAAUGACCAAAUGUCUGGUACUUUCAACAGCACCACUUGGUGAUCCUCAACAUCAUCAUAGCGGAUGGACGGGCAGAUCAUAUGAUUUACCAUUGGAUGCCGAAGAUCGCGUAAUUCAACUGUAGUGUAGCAACCAAAAAAUCGGU